rnacentral:rRNA from 1 species
GACGAACGCUGGCGGCGUGCCUAAUACAUGCAAGUCGAGCGCAGGAAAUCGACGGAACCCUUCGGGGGGAAGUCGACGGAAUGAGCGGCGGACGGGUGAGUAACACGUAAAGAACCUGCCCUCAGGUCUGGGAUAACCACGAGAAAUCGGGGCUAAUACCGGAUGGGUCAUCGGACCGCAUGGUCCGAGGAUGAAAGGCGCUUCGGCGUCGCCUGGGGAUGGCUUUGCGGUGCAUUAGCUAGUUGGUGGGGUAAUGGCCCACCAAGGCGACGGCGCAUGGCCGACCUGAGAGGGUGAUCGGCCACACUGGGACUGAGACACGGCCCAGACGCCUACGGGAGGCAGCAGUAGGGAAUCUUCCACAAUGGACGAAAGUCUGAUGGAGCAACGCCGCGUGAACGAUGAAGGCCUUCGGGUCGUAAAGUUCUGUUGUAAGGGAAGAACAAGUGCCGCAGGCAAUGGCGGCACCUUGACGGUACCUUGCGAGAAAGCCACGGCUAACUACGUGCCAGCCGCCGCAGUAA